AGGUCAAGCGAACAAGGGCGCAGGGCGAAUGCCUUGGCACUGGGAGCCGAUGAAAGACGUGAUAAGCUGCGAUAAGCUUCGGGGAGCUGCAAAUAAGCAUUGAUCCGGAGAUUUCUGAAUGAGGAAACUCACCUGGGUUCAUACUCAGGUACGUUAUACUGAACUUAAAAAUAGGUAUAUCGAGGGAACCGCCUGAACUGAAACAUCUAAGUAGGGCGAGGAAGAGACAUCAAACGAGAUUCCGUAAGUAGUGGCGAGCGAACGCGGAAGAGGGCAAACCGGAAGUAGAAAUACUUCCGGGGUACGGACCGCAUUUAGGACUUGAGUUGUUAACCGAACGGCAUGGGAAGGCCGGUCAGAGAGUGUGAGAACCACGUAGGUGAAAACGACAAGAGCUGAGCGAGUUCCAGAGUACGGCCAGACACGUGAAACCUGGUCGGAAUACGGGGGGACCACCCUCCAACCCUAAAUACUACCCAGUGACCGAUAGCGUAUAGUACUGUGAAGGAAAGGUGAAAAGCACCCCGGGAGGGGAGUGAAAAAGAACCUGAAACCCUGUGCCUACAAGCACCUAGAGCACGUCAAUGUGUGAUAGGGUACUUUUUGUAGAACGGUCCGGCGAGCGAUUGUAUGCAGCAAGGUUAAGGACUUAAGGUCUGGAGCCGAAGCGAAAGCGAGUUUGAAAAGGGCGUUAAGUUGCAUACAAUGGGCCCGAAACCGGGUGACCUACCCAUGGUCAGGUUGAAGUGGAAGUAAAAUUCCAUGGAGGACCGAACCGACCUCCGUUGAAAAGGCGGCGGAUGAACUGUGGGUAGCGGAGAAAUUCCAAUCGAACCCGGAGAUAGCUGGUUCUCCCCGAAAUAGUUUUAGGACUAGCCUCAAGUUAGAUACCUGGAGGUAAAGCACUGAAUAGCCUAGCGGCCGAGAGGUUAGCGAAGCUUAUCAAACUCAGAAUGCCAGAGUAUUGAUGCUUGGGAGUCAGACAGUGUCAGAUAAAUGUCAUUGUCAAAAGGGAAACAGCCCAGAUCUACAGCUAAGGUCCCAAAGUCAGGUUAAGUGGAAAACGAUGUGAAGAUACGUAGACAACCAGGAUGUUGGCUCAGAAGCAGCCACACAUUCAAAGAGUGCGUAAUAGCUCACUGGUCGAGCGUCUUUGCGCGGAGAAUUUAACGGGGCUAAACCUGACACCGAAGCUUAGGCAAUGUACUUUGUACAUUGGGUAGGGGAGCGUUGUAUACGCGGUGAAACAGUAGCGCAAGCGGCUGUGGAGUGUAUAGAAGUGAGAAUGCCGGAAUGAGUAGCGCGAAUGCAGUGAGAAUCUGCAUGGCCGAAAGCCUCAGGUUUCUGGAGGAAGGUUCGUCCGCUCCAGGUUAGUCGGGAGCUAAGGUGAGGCCUAACGGCGUAGCCGAUGCACAGACGGUAGAGAUUCCGUCACCACCAAAAGAGUUAAACACAGGGACACAUUUGAAGUCUCGGAGCCGGGUGUUGGUUCCGGUAGCGAUCGAGGGAAGUUAGUACCGAAGUCCGGGAUGGAAGAUGGCGAGAAAAGCUGUGUGUAUUUCUGCGGUGCCCGUACCGCAAACCGACACAGGUAGGUAGGAAGAAGAUUCUAAGGCCAACGGGAGAAGGGUUGUUAAGGAACUCGGCAAAUUGACCCCGUAACUUCGGGAGAAGGGGUGCUCCAGAGAUGGAGCCGCAGAGAAUCGGCCCAAGCAACUGUUUACCAAAAACACAGGUUUGUGCUAAAUCGAAAGAUGACGUAUACGAGCUGACGCCUGCCCGGUGCUGGAAGGUUAAGAGGAGAUGUGCAAGCAUUGAAUCGAAGCCCCAGUGAACGGCGGCCGUAACUAUAACGGUCCUAAGGUAGCGAAAUUCCUUGUCAGGUAAGUUCUGACCCGCAUGAAAGGCGUAAUGAUUUGGGCACUGUCUCGACAGCCCGCCCGGCGAAAUUGUAGUACCGGUGAAGAUGCCGGUUACCCGCGACAAGACGGAAAGACCCCAUGGAGCUUUACUGUAGCCUAAUAUUGGGUUUCGAUGUUGCAUGCACAGGAUAGAUGGGACACAGGGAAGCAAGUGCUUUGGCAUUUGUGGAGUGGCCGUUGGGAUACCAUCCUUGCGAUAUUGGAAUUCUAACCUGCGCCUUUGAAUCAAGGCGGGGGACAUUGUUAGGUGGGCAGUUUGACUGGGGCGGUCGCCUCCUAAAGAGUAACGGAGGCGUUCAAAGGUUCGCUCAGCUUGAACGGAAAUCAAGCAAAAGAGUGCAAACGCAGAAGCGAGCCUAACUGCGAGACUGACGGGUCGAGCAGUAACGAAAGUUGGAGUUAGUGAUCCGGUGGUAUGUGAGUGGAAAUGCCAUCGCUCAACGGAUAAAAGUUACCCUGGGGAUAACAGGCUGAUCUCCCCCAAGAGUCCACAUCGACGGGGAGGUUUGGCACCUCGAUGUCGGCUCAUCGCAUCCUGGGGCUGUAUUCGGUCCCAAGGGUUUGGCUGUUCGCCAAUUAAAGCGGUACGCGAGCUGGGUUCAGAACGUCGUGAGACAGUUCGGUCCCUAUCUGUCGUGGGCGCAGGAUAUUUGAUGGGAGCUGUUCCUAGUACGAGAGGACCGGAGCGGACGUACCUCUGGCGCACCAGUUGUUCUGCCAAGGGCAUAGCUGGGCAACUAUGUACGGAUCGGAUAAACGCUGAAAGCAUCUAAGCGUGAAGCCGACCCAAAGAUAAGAUAUCCCAUUGUUUCAAACAAGUAAGACCCCUUGAAGACUACAAGGUUGAUAGGCACGAUGUGUAAGUGGAGUGAUCCAUUCAGCAAGCGUGUACUAAUAGGUCGAGGGCUUGACCACAA
rnacentral:rRNA from 1 species